rnacentral:rRNA from 1 species
AACUCUGAGGUGCGAAGUGGUUCUGACCUUUUGGUACAGAGAAGUCAUUGAUGCCCGGCUUCCAGGAAAAGCUGCUAGCCAUAACUUAUAGAGAACCGUACCGCAAACCGACACAGGUGGACAGGUAGAGAAUACUAAGGCGCUUGAGAGAACUCGGGUGAAGGAACUAGGCAAAAUGGUACCGUAACUUCGGGAGAAGGUACGCCCUUUUGGGUGAGGGCAUUUACUGUCUGAGCUUAAGAGGGCCGCAGAGACCAGGUGGCUGCGACUGUUUAUUAAAAACACAGCACUCUGCAAAUUCGUAAGAAGACGUAUAGGGUGUGACGCCUGCCCGGUGCCGGAAGGUUAAUUGAUGGGGUUAUCUUCGGAGAAGCUCUUGAUCGAAGCCCCGGUAAACGGCGGCCGUAACUAUAACGGUCCUAAGGUAGCGAAAUUCCUUGUCGGGUAAGUUCCGACCUGCACGAAUGGCGUAACGAUGGCCACACUGUCUCCACCCGAGACUCAGUGAAAUUGAAAUCGCUGUGAAGAUGCAGUGUACCCGCGGCUAGACGGAAAGACCCCGUGAACCUUUACUAUAGUUUUGCACUGGACUUUGAUGAUGACUGUGUAGGAUAGGUGGGAGGCUGUGAAGUGAGGACGCUAGUUCUCAUGGAGCCGCCCUUGAAAUACCACCCUGUUGUUAUUGAGGUUCUAACUUGGUCCAGUAAUCCUGGAUGAGGACAGUGUAUGAUGGGUAGUUUGACUGGGGCGGUCUCCUCCCAAAGAGUAACGGAGGAGCACAAAGGUACCCUCGGUACGGUCGGACAUCGUACCAAGAGUGUAAAGGCAAAAGGGUGCUUGACUGCGAGAGUGACGGCUCGAGCAGGAACGAAAGUUGGUCUUAGUGAUCCGGUGGUUCUGAAUGGAAGGGCCAUCGCUCAACGGAUAAAAGGUACUCCGGGGAUAACAGGCUGAUACCGCCCAAGAGUUCAUAUCGACGGCGGUGUUUGGCACCUCGAUGUCGGCUCAUCACAUCCUGGGGCUGAAGCAGGUCCCAAGGGUAUGGCUGUUCGCCAUUUAAAGUGGUACGCGAGCUGGGUUUAGAACGUCGUGAGACAGUUCGGUCCCUAUCUGCCGUGGGCGUAGGAAAAUUGAGAGGAGCUGCUCCUAGUACGAGAGGACCGGAGUGGACGAACCUCUGGUGCACCGGUUGUCACGCCAGUGGCAUGGCCGGGUAGCUAAGUUCGGACGGGAUAACCGCUGAAAGCAUCUAAGCGGGAAGCCUCCCUCAAGAUGAGUUUUCCCAUGAAGCCCGUUGAAGACUACGACGUUGAUAGGCAAGGUGUGGAAGCGCAGUAAUGCGUGAAGCUAACUUGUACUAAUUGGCUGAUUGUCUUGACCAUAUAAUCUGAG